rnacentral:tRNA from 1 species
GGAGCAGUGCUCGAGUGGCUGAAGAGGCACGCCUGGAAAGCGUGUAUACGCCAAAAGCGUAUCCCGGGUUCGAAUCCCGGCUGCUCCG